ensembl:lncRNA
AACAAGUUCAAGAAGAGACUGACAUGGAUUUCUUUGUUGAAGAACUAGAGCAACUGGAAAAUGACUUGGAUGUGGGAAGAACAAACAGGACAACAAAUCCCAAAAAGGAAGACAAACUGAAAGUCAUGAAAAAAAGUUCAAACGUACAACAUGCUACAGAUAAUGACAAACAAAGAAAAGUAAUAAAAGGAAGUCCAAAUGAACAAAAUACCAAUAGACAUGUUAAAAUUGUAACGAAACAAGUUCAAGAAGAGACUGACAUGGAUUUUUUUCUUGCAGAGUUAGAGCAACUGGAAAAUGACUUGGAUGUGGGAAUAAAGAACAGGACAACAAAUCCCAAAAAGGAAGACAAACUGAAAGUCAUGAAAAAAAGUUCAAACGUACAACAUGCUACAGAUAAUGACAAACAAAGAAAAGUAAUAAAAGGAAGUCCAAAUGAACAAAAUACCAAUAGACAUGUUAAAAUUGUAACGAAACAAGUUCAAGAAGAGACUGACAUGGAUUUUUUUCUUGCAGAGUUAGAGCAACUGGAAAAUGACUUGGAUGUGGGAAUAAAGAACAGGACAACAAAUCCCAAAAAGGAAGACAAACUGAAAGUCAUGAAAAAAAGUUCAAACGUACAACAUGCUACAGAUAAUGACAAACAAAGAAAAGUAAUAAAAGGAAGUCCAAAUGAACAAAAUGCCAAAGGACAUGUUAAAAUUGUAAGGAAACAUGUUCAAGAAGAGACUGACAUGGAUUUUUUUCUUGCAGAGUUAGAGCAACUGGAAAAUGACUUGGAUGUGGGAGUAAUGCACAGAACAUCAAGUCCAAAACAUCAAAUCCAAAUCCAAAACGAAGACAAACUAAAAUUUGUGGAUGAAAGUCAUAAGGAACAACAUGCUACAGAGGAUGAUAAACAGAGCAAAGUUGUCAAAGGAAAUGCAAAGCAACAACAUGAUAUGAAGUUAGAGAAACAAGCAAAAGACGAAACCGAAGGGAAUUUGUCAAGUGCCUGGGGAUCAAAUUCCAAAAAGGUAGACACACUUAAAGAUGCAAAAGAAAGUUCCAAGGACAAACAUGCUAGAGAGGAUGACAAAAAAAGAAAAGAAAAUGAACUCAUUCAAGAUGAAAAAACUGCCAAAGAACAUGUGAAAAAUAUAGGCAAACAAGUUGAAGAGACUACCAUGGAUUUGGUAAUUGAAGACCUUGAACUGCUGGAAAGUGGGAAUGAUGGGGGAUUGAAGCUCAAGAGAUCAAAUACUAAAAUGGAAGACAAACUUAAAGUGACAAAAGAAAGUCCAAAUGAAGAACAGGCUAAAAGAUUCGAGACACAAGUAAAAAAAGAAACCAAAGUGAAUUUGUCUAUUGAAAAGCUAGCACUAAUGGAAAAAGGCACCGAUGGAGGAAUGAAGAACAUGAGAUCAAAUCCCAAAAAGGAAAACAAACAAAGAAAAGCACUGAAAGAAAGACAAAUAGAACAAAAUGCCAAAGGAAGUAACAACGGAAAGACAAAGGACACACAAGUCAUAGAAGAGACCGACGCAACCUACAAGAAAGAAAUCCAAACAGAGAUGCCGAAGUCAAUUCUUGACAAGAUACGCAAUAAAAUCGACCAACACAGAAUCCAAAAGAAGGAAAAACAGAAACAAAAAAAUCUUAAAUUCCUUCAAGAAGCAUUGACCACUCAUGAAGUAUUAGAUGUGGCAUUAAACAUACAUGCCAAAAAGAAGCCUAGAAAAUGGGUCAAAUGCCAGGAUUUUUCAAUAUUUCAGUGUAAAUGAACUGCACCGUAGAUUCCCUGGAUGCUGCAAUCAACUGAAACGUGCCAUGUGGUUCUGGAACAUGAUUUUCUUCAUUUGUAUUCAAGAUCAA